UACAGAGGGUGCAAGCGUUGUUCGGAAUUAUUGGGCGUAAAGGGCGCGUAGGCGGUGCGGUAAGUCACCUGUGAAAUCUCCUGGCUCAACUGGGAGCUUGCAGGCGAAACUGCCGUGCUGGAGUGUGGGAGAGGUGCGUGGAAUUCCUGGUGUAGCGGUGAAAUGCGUAGAUAUCAGGAGGAACACCUGUGGCGAAAGCGGCGCACUGGACCACAACUGACGCUGAGGCGCGAAAGCUAGGGGAGCAAACAGG
rnacentral:rRNA from 1 species